GCAACUGCCCUUUUAGCACUUAUUGAGAUUACUGCAAGGUUUCAGCUAUUCAAGAGCUAUAAUAUUUCUGUUAAGUAAGUGACACUUGUAAUUACCUCUAGGGGAGAAGACCGCUACACCAGGAGUAGCAUUCCCAUGAUGACAACACACUCCAUGGUUUGGGGUCACCAAGGAAGAUACGAUUCACGUAGACACUGAGUAGAACAAGGCUUUACUCCCAUAGAGAAGAAACAGAGCAAGAUUAGCUUCAGGGU
rnacentral:lncRNA from 10 species